AUGAACGCUAUCGGAAGGCUUAAUACAUGCAAGUCGAGCGGUAGGUGGCUUCGGCCAUUGAGAGCGGCGCACGGGUGAGUAACGCGUACAUGACCUGCCUGUCAGAAGGGGGUAGCCCUGGGAAACUGGGAUUAAUACCCUAUGGUAUUGAUGUUAUAGAUGAUAUCAAUUAAAGCUGAGGCGCUGACAGAUGGAUGUGCGUCUGAUUAGCUAGUUGGUAGGGUAACGGCCUACCAAGGCGACGAUCAGUAGGGGGCGUGAGAGCGUGGUCCCCCACACGGGUACUGAGACACGGACCCGACUCCUACGGGAGGCAGCAGUAAGGAAUAUUGGUCAAUGCCCGCAAGGGUGAACCAGCCAUUCCGCGUGGAGGAUGAAGGCCCUAUGGGUUGUAAACUUCUUUUAGAUGGGAAGAAAAUGCUAGAAUUUUCCGGUACUGACGGUACCAUCAGAAUAAGCACCGGCUAACUCCGUGCCAGCAGCCGCGGUAAUACGGAGGGUGCGAGCGUUAUCCGGAAUUACUGGGUUUAAAGGGUGCGUAGGCGGAUGAUUAAGUCUAAGGUGAAAGUUUGUCGCUUAACGAUAAAAUUGCCUUGGAUACUGGUUAUCUUGAAUAAGGAUGAGGAUGGCGGAAUGUGGCAUGUAGCGGUGAAAUGCAUAGAUAUGCCAUAGAACACCAAUUGCGAAGGCAGCUAUCUGGUCUUUUAUUGACGCUGAGGCACGAAAGCGUGGGGAUCGAACAGGAUUAGAUACCCUGGUAGUCCACGCCCUAAACGAUGCUAACUCGAUGUUUGGUCGUAAGAUUGAGCAUCCCAAGCGAAAGCGUUAAGUUAGCCACCUGGGGAGUACGACCGCAAGGUUG
rnacentral:rRNA from 1 species